rnacentral:rRNA from 2 species
GAUUUCUGGCUUCAAACAUUUAGCCGGCCACGGUUUCGUGUGUUAGUGUUAGAUGUUGUGGCCAUCCUUCCAAUUGCUAUUGGCUUAUCUUCAUUGAUUGGUCAGUAGUAUUGGAUCUUUUACUUUGAAAAAAUUAGAGUGUUUCAAGCAGGCUUUAUGCUAUGAAUACAUUAGCAUGGAAUAAUAAUUUAGGACUUCGGUUCUAUUUUGUUGGUUUCUAGGACUGAAGUAAUGAUUGAUAGGGAUAGUUGGGGGUGCUAGUAUUCAGCGGCCAGAGGUGAAAUUCUCGGAUUCGCUGAAGACUAACUUAUGCGAAAGCAUU